GAUUUCUGACGAAACUGCUAGCUGGCCCGCCUCGCAAGAGUGUGAGUGCCGGCUUGGCGUUUGUCAUCCGUUCGAAUGCAUGAACGGCUGCCCUUCACUGGGUUGGCCGUUUCAGUGUUCGAUCUUUUACUUUGAAAAAAUUAGAGUGUUUCAAGCAGACAUGGAUGUUAUGAAUACAUUAGCAUGGAAUAAUAACUUAGGACUUUCGGUUCUAUUUUGUUGGUGUUCUGGAGCUGAAGUAAUGAUUGAUAGGGAUAGUUGGGGGUGCUAGUAUUCAAUGGCCAGAGGUGAAAUUCUCGGAUUCCUUGAAGACUAACUUAUGCGAAAGCAUU
rnacentral:rRNA from 1 species